AUGGAUAAUUACAUAAACGAGAUCUCUCAAAGCUGUCUGCUGAAUGACGCGGACGACCUCGAGAGCUCUCGGUCAAGAAACACACCCGUCGCGAAACUGCUUAGGGACAAGGAGGCAGACGGAACGGGCGUGUAAAAAGUUUUAUGAUCGCAGUCAAUAAAGUGACGUAAUCCAAGUGUUCUACUCGGUUGUAGUCUGUGACGUCAGAGGCCGGAAGUGGCGCGCGUAAAUGCCACGAGCCUCGACUGUUACGCGACAGAAGUCCCUCCACGUAGACAGGCUACCCCUGGGGUGGGUGGAGAUCGCGUAAACGGUUGGAACGAGGGACAGAGAGGCGGUUAAGGGUGAACGAAGAGGAACUCUGUCGGCUGGCUAGAAGAGGGACGAAGAAAAUAUGAGCCGAGACAAGGAUGGACUAUACGGCGGAAAGAGAGUUUUUUCAACAUCUGCGUGGAUUGUACCCGGACAAUUGUCUGCCAGUGCAGACAGUGUAUAGACAGACGUUUAAAUGGGUCGCGCCAUUUUGCAGGAUGGGGUGAAGAGGAUAAAGGGAGGGAGAAGAGGCUGCUUUAUGGAAACAUUGGAAUGUUUUACAGGCGAUAAACGCGGCCGUACAACGCUCCUGUUGCGGCGCGCCCCUCACACAAGCGUUAUCGCGAGGAUGGAAGCACCCUUCGGCGACCUUGACCCUUCUCCUCCUCCCCCGAAACCUGAAUGAAAGAAACGGCUCGUCAAAGCGAGUCGCGGAUCGUAAACUUGGGAAUAGUCCCGGUGAACGAGACCAUUGUCAGCCUCGUUAACCGCGUAACAAUUCAUUCAAUUUUCCUUUGAAGAUUCUUCUUCUUAACUAUAUUCUUCGGUGUACGAAUAAGGAUAUAAAUUGAGAGCGGUGAUGUCGCACUUUACGACUACUUAACAGCCAUGGAAUUAUUCUAACCAAUUCUGGAAUGAAUGAAACUGGGAUUAUUAUCGAUCUUGUUAAUUAUGUAAUAGUUUGAUUUUUUAGAAGAUUCUUCUUUUUAUUUGUAAUUAAGCUCUUUAGUACAGGUGGAAGAAAUUUAUGAAAACUUUCUUUGUUACGAAUCGUUUUAAUUUAAAAAUAAAUUCGAUUAAACGCCUAUAAUUCCUAUAUAGAGAAUAAGUAACGAUAUAUUAAUCAUUUUAAAUAAAUAAUACAAAUAUAAUGC